rnacentral:miRNA from 2 species
UCCGGCGCCGCACUAGGCACUG